GUUCUUGUAGUUGAACACAACGGUGGUUUUUCAAGCCAUUAGUCCUGGUUAGAAUCCUGGCGAGAACU
rnacentral:tRNA from 1 species